CCUGGGCCACCAACACAGAGCGUGUGAACUUAACCACUUGGCCAUGGGGUCAGCCCCAAGAGUUGAUUUCUUUAUGAACUGUUAAAAAUUUAUGAAAUUUGGAAAAAAUUGCAACGUAUGUUAUCAAGACAUGUGGAAACAGAUUCUUUCAUACAUUGCUGGUGGAAUGUAAAUUAGAGGGCAUUUUGACUGUUAAAUAUUAAAAUUUCAAAUGUAUAUGUGCAUAUCCUUUGAAACCAGCAUUUCCAUCUCUUCGUAUUUAUUCUAAGAAAGUAAGUGGAUAAGUGCAUAGAUCACUGCAGUAUUGUUUAGAGCAGUGAAAAAUUUGAACCAAUCUAAAUAUUCGUUAUUUGGGGAUUGAUUUCAGAAUUUAGAUAUACUCCAAAAUAUACGUAAGUUGAGUAUUGUGUUCUCAGGAAUUGUUAACAUUCUAAUAAUUACUAAGUAAAUUGGCUGACUUUUCACAUGAACACAAAUACAGUUCCAUCUCUUCACUAUUUUUGAGAAGUUUUUAAGGAGUGAACAUUUUCAUAGAAGAGCUGUCAUAUAUUGGCUAAUAGCUAAUAUUUUUGACCACUUAUGUGUGUGGCAGGUCCUGGACUGAGCAUUUGACAUGUGUUACCUGACUUAAUCCCUGCAACAGCCCAGUGUCGUGGAUAGUAAUUAAUCCCCAAGGAAACUUCAGUAUUAAAUAGCUAGUAAGUAAGGGGAGAUAGUGGAGAAAGUCAGAAGGGUUCUGAUCUCAGCUAUAUUAUUUACUUAACACUUUUAGAGAUACUUUACUUGUCUAUAAAGUUAAAAUAACAGCAUCUCAGACACUGUUGGAAGAUUACAUGACAAAAUGCAUUUGAAGCACAGAAUAUAUGGACAAAUUUAAAACAGUAUUUAAAUUUUAAUCAGAACCUUAAAAGGUGAUAAAAUUGAAUCAGAGAUAUUAUGACCUAUUCAAAAUCAAGUAAAAAUUUAUUCUUGAAAAAUAGAGUACAAACCUUUGAAUGAUCUUGAUGAUGGUCCAGAUUCUGUGCUUUAUUCUCAGUCUCUAGCCUAUUAAAAUGGGUAAAUUAGAGAGAAAAUUAUUUAGAAGUUAGAUUUUGGGAAAACAAGGGAGAAUUGAUUAAAUGAAAGGAAAUAAAAUUCAUUGCUGGUGUUUUAUUUCAGAUAAACACAAGGAAAUCCUUAAAUUGUGUCACUUAGCAACAUUACUCUUUCCCUCCUCACCGAAAACUAAAGUAAAAUAGCUAGUAAAAGGUGUGUUUGCAUUACCAAAACUUUGUGGUCAUUGUGUGAAUUCUUUUAAGUCAAUAGCUUCAAGGUUCCCAGUUAUCUUUCCUUUUCCAUCACUUGUUCUUAGAGCCUUCUAGAGGCAAGUUGGUUAUUACUGUAAGCUGCUUCUUAUAAACAUGCCAUUUCUUGUAAAAUGUCUUUAAGAAAAAUAAUUAUCCAUCUGUGCUUCCAUUUAUUUAUUUUUUUAAAUCUGAAAAUGAUGGAUCUGAGAAACCAUUUGAAUAACUAACUGUAUGAUAGUGCUUUACUAGGUUUUGGGUAGCUGCAAAGGAGUAAAGAAAGGAGUUGAUGGUAUAGUAAAAGAAUCAUUCAAAUAUGAAACAUGUUAUGAGUUUAAAAGAUAGAAGGAUAGUAUCUAAAGGAGGAGCUUGGCGAAAGCUUCAUGGGGCCUGGGCAUUUUUUAGCUUUACCUUGAAAGAUGAUUAGAAUUUCAGUAGAAUUAAAAGAAGAGCAGUUUGGUGAAGGUAAUGGUAAGGCCACAGAUAUGAAUGCAGGAAAGCGAGCGGCAGUGGUCUUCCAGGCUUUUAAAAAAUAAAGAUACCAGGCCUUACCCUACAAAUUGAUUUAAUGGGAAUGUAAACAGAAAGGAAUGACUGUUGUGGGAGUUACUGUGGGAUGAUGAUUUAUGAGAUUUGGUAACCCGGUUUUAAUGAGAAUUUAAGAAGUAGAGAUUAUGCCACUCCUCUUACUGCAUCAUUCUCUGAAAUCCUGGUUUUAUUGGUGAAUUCAUGGCAGGAACAGGUUUCUCACUGUCAGCAGCAGUAUCAAGGCUAUACACCAAAAGUCGGCAUCGUUCCUUCCCAGACAUUACUAGUGCUACUCAAAGUGUAGUCUGCAGACCAGUGCUAGUUUACCAACUGUUUAUUACAGAUCUGCAACAAGAGAAUGCAGAGUCUAUUGAUCUUAAGCAGUUUUUUGACCAACACUUUUCACAUAUAUAUUAUGUGUUCUUUGAGAAUUUUGUGACUAUUGAAGCUAGUCUUAAACAGAAAGGUCACAAGUCUCAAAGAGAAGAAUUGGAUGCUAUACUUUUUAUUUUUGAGAAAAUUUUACAACUUCUUCCAGAAAGAAUUCAUCAGCGAUGGCAGUUUCAUAGUAUUGGAUUGAUUUUAAAGAAACUACUGCACACAGGAAACUCCUUGAAGAUCAGGCGGGAAGGUGUUCGUCUUUUCUUAUUAUGGUUGCAAGCUCUUCAGAAUAACUGUAGCAAAGAACAGCUUUGGAUGUUUUCAUGCUUAAUCCCUGGAUUUUCAGCACCACAAUCUGAACAUGGACCUCGAACUUUAGAUAAUCUCAUUAAUCCUCCACUCAACCUUCAAGAAACUCAAGUUACUAUAGAGGAAAUCACUCCUCUUGUCCCCCCACAAUCAGGAGAUAAAGGACAAGAAGAUCUCACAAGCUACUUUCUUGAAGCACUUUUAAAAUAUAUAGUAAUUCAGGUAAAAAGUUUAGAAUGGAAGAAUAAAGAAAACCAAGAAAGGGGAUUUUCAUUUUUGUUUUCACAUUUUAAGAAAUAUUACUUGCCUUACAUUUUCCCAAACAUCUGCAAGGAGAACAGUCUGUAUCAUCCUGUACUUGAUAUCCCCCAGAUGAGACCAAAGCCACAUUAUGUCAUGAUAAAGAAGGAUACUGAAACCAAUGAAGCAAUCUAUUGUACAAAGGAGCCUUUCAUUAAGGCUCGUGUUAUUGUCAUUCGUUGGCUGGUUUCUUUCUGGCUUGAGCCAAAGCCACAUACAGGACCUCAUAUUCCUGGGAUGGAAGGUGAAGCGGUGCCAAAGAAUAUUCAGAGAGCAGCUGCUAGUUUAGUAUCCAGAGAAGAAAACAAAAGUGAUAAUGCUGAUAAAGCAGAUCGAACUGCAGAACCAGAACAGUCUCAUUCCAAUACGAGCACGCUCACCGAGCGAGAGCCGAGCUCCUCCAGUCUCUGCAGCAUCGAUGAAGAGCAUCUCACAGACAUUGAAAUCGUUCGCAGGGUCUUUUCUUCUAAAAGAAGUAAUGUAAACUUUGUCACAGAGAUAUUUCGUCAGGCAUUUUUAUUACCAAUUUGUGAAGCAGCCGCUAUGAGAAAAGUGGUAAAAGUAUAUCAGGAAUGGAUCCAGCAAGAGGAAAAACCUUUGUUCAUGCAAGAGCCUGAAGAAAUUGUCAUCUCUUCUUCAGACUUACCUUGCAUUGACAGUGUCACAGACCGUGAUAUUUCAAUGGAAGAAGGAGAAAAGAGAGAAGAGGAAAAUGAGACUAGUAUUGCUGAUCACGUUCGAAAUUCUGCUUGGGCAAAAAAUGGCACCUACGAAGAUGUUCUUCAUAAUGCCUCUGAAGAAGCCAUAGAACAAAACACACGAGCUGGUACCCAGGCAGUUUUACAGGUGUUUAUUAUAAACUCAUCAAACAUAUUUCUUCUUGAACCUGCAAAUGAAAUAAAAAAUCUUCUGGAUGAGCACACAGAUAUGUGUAAACGCAUUCUUAAUAUUUAUCGGUUCAUGGUUGUGCAAGUAUCAAUGGACAAAAAGACUUGGGAACAGAUGCUGCUUGUGUUGCUCAGAGUCACGGAGUCUGUACUGAAGACGCCAUCACAAGCUUUUCUGCAGUUCCAGGGGAAAAAAAACAUGACCUUGGCAGGUCGACUUGCAGGACCACUUUUCCAGACUCUUAUAGUUGCCUGGAUCAAGGCAAAUCUAAAUGUGUACAUCUCCCGAGAACUGUGGGAUGACUUACUCUCAGUAUUGUCAUCGUUGACCUAUUGGGAAGAGUUAGCCACUGAGUGGUCACUGACUAUGGAGACACUAACUAAAGUUUUAGCUAGAAAUUUAUAUAGUUUGGAUCUCAGUGAUUUACCAUUGGAUAAGCUGAGUGAACAAAAGCAAAAAAAGCACAAAGGGAAAGGAGUUGGACAUGAAUUUCAGAAAGUUUCAGUUGACAAGUCAUUUUCCAGAGGAUGGAGUCGCGAUCAGCCUGGCCAAGCCCCCAUGAGACAGAGAAGUGCAACAACCACUGGUUCCCCAGGAACCGAAAAGGCGAGGAGUAUAGUACGUCAAAAAACAGUUGCCAUGAGAAGCCGAUCCAUUGGUGAAUGUGCUCUGCCAUCGGCCUAUAUACGCAGUGCUAAAAGUGCUCCUGUUCUGAUCCAUACUUCCAAACCCUUCUUGCCUGAUAUUGUUCUCACUCCCCUUUCUGAUGAGCUUUCAGAUAUUGAUGAUGCUCAAAUACUUCCCCGCCCAACUAGAGUCAGACAUUUUUCACAAAGUGAAGACACUGGAAAUGAAGUUUUUGGUGCUUUGAAUGAGGAGCAGCCAUUGCCUCGAAGUAGCAGCACUUCUGACAUCUUGGAACCAUUCACUGUUGAACGAGCCAAAGGUGCAGUUCCUGUCAUUGACAGUUCAUCCCGUCAUGCGCCAAGCUUGCAGAGUUCCACAGAGGCUUCUUCAAUAACUAGAUCCACUGAAAGCCACAUCACUGAUACUCAUAGUAGAGAGUCUUCUCUGGAAGUUGGUGAUAGCAUAUAUGACCAUCUUUGCCACUUAAUAGAUCCAGUAGAACUUGCAGAUUCAGCUUUUGAACAGAUCCAGUACAUUGACCUUGAAGGAGAUGAUGAUCUUCUUUCCUCUCUGAAAGAAUAUUUUAAGGAAAACCAGGAAAAUCAUAGUAAAAAUGAGUUAGGUAAAGAUGCAGCUUCUCAGGAAGUGAUUAUUGCCGUAAAUAGGGAUGAAAGAUCAUCCUUAGAUAAAUUAGAAAACAUAGACCAGGAAAGUAAAUCAGAAAAUAUCACCUCCUUUGUUGGGACUCCUGAAAACAUACAGUUUCAAAAAGAACCAAACUCAGCUGUCUUCAUGAGUAGUAUUGCACCUAACCAGUUAGACAGUUUUAUGAGAACAAAAACUUCUGAAAAAUCUAAACAACUAAACAGUGAUAAACAGUCAUCGGAACCUAGUUCAGGUAGCCCUUGUGAUAAAGAGAAGAGGAAACAUCUGUCUAGACAGACAGCCACAGAAUUAGAUGCCUGUGUAGAUAUGACAUUAGUUGAAAAGGUUAAGAGUGUGCAAAUUAAUGAAAAAAUCACUGUCCCACAUGUUAUGCAUGCCAAGAAAACUACACUAAAAGCACCUGUUAACCGUAGAAUGCCUCAUGUUACAAACACUAGCAAGCUUUCUCCAACUAAAAGGAGCUUGUCUGAAACAGUAACUCAUAGAGCCAAAAUCAUGAAAAUUGCUACUAAAAAGCGAAAUAGUGUUCAUGUUACUUUUAGACCAUCUACUGAGUCGGUUCAGUUUUAUAACCCUCUGGAAAACAAAGAGGCUCCAUGGAAGAUGAGACUGCGGAAGCUCAGUGGCUUCAGUAGUAGUAGCAGUAGCAGCACCAGCAACACCCAUGCCAGCUCAAACAGUGUUCCAGAGCUAGUCAAACCUGGUGUGUACAGGCCUCUAGAUACAGUUAGUGCAACAACAGUAAGUAGUAAAACAAUUAAGGAAUCUACAGAGAUUCCCACCACCAUAUCACCAAAAGAAGGAGUAGCAAGUAAUCAGCCAGGGAGUCGCAGUGCUCUUAGGUCAAGUCACGAGGCAGGGCUACAGCAGGGCUCCCUGGGUGGCGUUUAUAAAACUGUUGUACAUGCUCUUUCGAAGCCGAAGGCAAAUGUUUCCCCACAGAGGCAGAACAGAAUGCCACCAGAGGCUCCACUGAGGGAUCUGUACAGUCAUGUAAUGGGCUAUUUUGGAAGGAAAGCUGCAGUCAAUAAAGAGGACAUGAGCCCCAAACUGCCCCCUCUUAAUAGUGAUAUUGGCAGCAGCAAUGCUAAUGUUCCUGAUCUGAUGGAUGAGUUUAUAGCAGAACGACUUCGAAGUGGUAAUGCCUCAACUAUGACAAGAAGAGGAAGUAGUCCAGGCAGCCUCGAAAUUCCCAAAGACCUCCCUGAUAUUCUAAACAAGCAGAGCCAAAUGCGUCCUAUCGAUGACCCAGGUGUGCCCUCAGAAUGGACUUCUCCUGCUAGUGCAGGGAGCAGUGAUCUUAUCAGCUCAGACAGUCAUUCGGAUUCUUUCAGCGCUUUCCAGUAUGAUGGCCGAAAAUUUGACAAUUUUGGCUUUGGAGCUGAUACUGGGAUUGUGUCCUCUGCUGAUGUGGAUUCAGGUUCUGCCCAUCAUCAGAGUGCUGAAGAGCAAGAAGUGGCCAGUCUAACCACGCUUCACAUAGAUUCUGAAACAAGCAGUCUUAAUCAACAGGCUUUUUCUGCUGAAGUUGCAACAGUUACUGGUUCAGAAAGUGCUUCUCCCAUCCAUUCAGCUCUGGGAUCCCGGUCACAGACGCCUUCUCCCUCUACCCUGAAUGCAGAUCACAUGGAGCAGAAGGACCUCCAGCUGGAUGAGAAGCUCCACCACUCCGUUCUUCAGACACCAGAUGACCUAGAAAUCAGUGAAUUUCCAUCUGAAUGCUGUAGUGUGAUGGCAGGGGGUACUCUCACGGGAUGGCAUGCUGAUGUUGCUACUGUAAUGUGGCGAAGAAUGCUAGGCAUUUUGGGAGAUGUCAACGCUAUCAUGGAUCCUGAAAUACAUGCUCAAGUUUUUGAUUACCUCUGUGAACUUUGGCAGAAUCUAGCUAAGAUUAGAGAUAACCUCGGCAUUUCAACUGAUAACCUGACCUCCCCUUCUCCACCAGUUUUGAUUCCUCCACUGAGAAUUCUUACACCUUGGCUUUUCAAGGCAACCAUGUUGACAGAUAAAUAUAAACAAGGUAAAUUACACGCUUAUAAACUUAUUUGUAAUACAAUGAAAAGAAGACAAGAUGUUUCUCCAAAUAGAGAUUUUCUAACACAUUUCUACAAUAUCAUGCAUUGUGGAUUACUUCAUAUUGACCAGGAUAUUGUCAAUACAAUCAUCAAGCACUGCUCACCCCAGUUUUUUUCACUUGGUUUACCUGGUGCCACGAUGCUUAUUAUGGAUUUUAUUAUAGCAGCUAGUAGAGUGGCUUCUUCAGCUUUUCUCAAUGCACCAAGAGUGGAAGCACAAGUUCUCCUGGGCUCCUUGGUUUGCUUUCCCAACUUAUAUUGUGAACUGCCUGCUCUCCACCCCAACAUUCCUGAUAUUGCUGUGUCUCAAUUUACAGAUGUUAAGGAACUUAUAAUCAAAACUGUAUUAAGUUCCGCAAGAGAUGAGCCCUCUGGUCCUGCACGAUGUGUAGCACUUUGCAGUUUAGGAAUUUGGAUUUGUGAAGAACUAGUCCAUGAGUCUCAUCAUCCUCAAAUUAAGGAAGCUCUGAAUGUAAUUUGUGUUUCCUUAAAGUUUACUAAUAAAACAGUGGCCCAUGUAGCUUGUAACAUGCUUCACAUGCUGGUUCAUUAUGUACCUAGACUUCAGAUUUACCAACCUGAUUCUCCCUUGAAAAUUAUUCAAAUCCUAAUAGCCACUAUUACCCAUCUUUUGCCAAGUACAGAAGCUUCGUCUUAUGAAAUGGACAAGAGGUUGGUGGUAUCCUUACUUUUGUGCCUUCUGGACUGGAUCAUGGCCUUACCUCUGAAGACACUGCUUCAGCCAGUCCAUGCUACAGGAGCAGAAAAUGACAAAAUAGAAAAAUCUGUCCUCAACUGCAUUUAUAAGGUAUUACAUGGGUGUGUUUAUGGAGCUCAGUGUUUUAGCAAUCCAAAGUAUUUUCCAAUAAGCCUCUCUGAUUUGGCAUCUGUAGAUUAUGAUCCUUUUAUGCAUUUGGAAAGUCUGAAAGAGCCUGAACCUCUGCACUCCCCUGAUUCAGAACGAUCUUCUAAACUCCAGCCUGUAACAGAAGUGAAAACUCAAAUGCAACAAGGAUUAAUCUCAAUAGCUGCCCGCACUGUUAUUACACACCUGGUAAAUCACUUGGGCCAUUAUCCAAUGAGUGGUGGUCCUGCUAUGUUAACAAGUCAGGUGUGUGAAAAUCAUGACAAUCAUUACAGUGAAAGUACUGAACUUUCUCCUGAACUCUUUGAGAGUCCAAAUAUCCAGUUCUUUGUGUUGAACAAUACAACAUUAGUGUCCUGUAUCCAGAUCAGGUCAGAAGAAAGUAUACCUGGAGGAGGUUUGUCUGCUGGUCUUGCAUCAGCCAAUUCAAAUGUCAGAAUCAUAGUACGUGAUCUCUCUGGAAAAUAUUCAUGGGAUUCUGCCAUCCUGUAUGGACCACCUCCUGUAAGUGGUUUGUCAGAACCUACAUCUCUCAUACUUUCAUUGUCUCGCCAAGAGAAACCAGAAGAGCCUCCUCCAUCUAAUGAAUGCUUAGAAGAUAUAACAGUAAAAGAUGGGAUACCCCUCCAGUUUAAAAGAAGAUUUAGAGAAACCGUACCGACUUGGGAUACAAUAAAAGAUGAAGAAGAUGUUCUUGAUGAGCUUUUGCAGUAUUUAGGUGUAACUAGUCCUGAAUGCUUACAGAGAACUGGAAUCUCACUUAAUAUUCCUGCUCCACAACCUGUGUGCAUUUCUGAAAAACAGGAAAAUGAUGUUAUCAAUGCUAUCCUUAAGCAACAUACAGAGGAAAAAGAAUUUGUUGAGAAACACUUUAAUGACUUAAACAUGAAAGCUGUGGAGCAAGAUGAGCCAACACCUCAGAAGCCUCAGUCAGCAUUUUAUUAUUGCAGAUUGCUUCUUAGUAUAUUGGGAAUGAAUUCCUGGGAUAAAAGGAGGAGCUUUCAUCUCUUGAAGAAAAAUGAAAAACUACUUAGAGAACUUAGGAAUUUGGACUCAAGACAGUGCCGAGAGACACACAAGAUUGCAGUAUUUUAUGUUGCUGAAGGACAAGAAGACAAACAUUCCAUUCUUACCAAUACAGGAGGAAGUCAAGCGUAUGAGGAUUUUGUAGCUGGUCUUGGUUGGGAGGUAAAUCUUACAAACCAUUGCGGUUUCAUGGGAGGACUACAAAAAAACAAAAGCACUGGACUGACCACGCCAUAUUUUGCUACCUCUACAGUAGAAGUAGUAUUUCAUGUAUCGACAAGAAUGCCUUCUGAUUCUGAUGACUCUCUGACCAAAAAAUUGAGACAUUUAGGAAAUGAUGAAGUGCACAUUGUUUGGUCAGAGCAUACUAGAGACUACAGAAGAGGAAUUAUUCCUACAGAAUUUGGUGAUGUCCUUAUUGUAAUAUAUCCAAUGAAAAAUCACAUGUUCAGUAUCCAGAUAAUGAAAAAACCAGAGGUUCCCUUCUUUGGUCCACUUUUUGAUGGUGCUAUUGUGAAUGGAAAGGUCCUGCCCAUUAUGGUUCGAGCAACAGCUAUAAAUGCAAGCCGUGCUCUGAAAUCGCUGAUUCCACUCUAUCAAAACUUAGUUAAAAGAGGAAAAGAUUCAAGUACUGUAGAUUGAGUUGGCUCAUUUUGAUUUGUUUAUAAGCCUACAUCAAAUCUGGAAAAUUAUAAAGAAUAUUUAGCAUUUAGAAGAAGGGAAAUUCUUUUGAAGUUCAACCCCAGCAUAAAGAAUUGAAAAUAAUGGACUGCAAGGAUUGGAGUUCAGAUUAUUUCAAUAUUUGAUGCAUAAAAUAAACUGUCAUACAAGAAUAGAGUGCUCAAGCCAUUUAGAGGGCAGAAGACAUCACAGUCUAAGUUAAGCACCUAAUGAAUAUAGUCUUACCUUUACCUCUUUUCCUCUUCUUAAUCAAUAACCUUUUGUAAGUGUAACUGGCUGUAUCUCCCAUUGGAUAUCAUUUUAAAUUAUAUUCCUCUCAAAUUAUUUUUCUUGGUCUUAGUUGUAGACUUGGUCUACACUUUCUAGAAUUGUAGAACAAUAGUUGAAUUGCAAUUUUAAAAGAAUAAGGAAUUUUGAGGAGAAAAUAUUGAAGUGGGUUUUGGAAAAAAUUCAGUGAAGAAAGAAGAACAAAUGGGCAAAUUUUAUUAUCCUUUAUACUUAUUUAAAUAUCUUAUGUAAAGCCUAUCAACAUAGCACGUUGAGUACAGCAGGAAAAUUUCAAAAGUUGUAGAAGAAAGGUUAACUGAUUUCUCAGUUCAGGAACUAUACGACAUGAAGUCAGCAUGUGAGUUUUUCCUGAUAAUUGUAUGUUGCUGCCUGCUGCUCUACAUUUUGACAGCCAUUUCCAUAGUUGCUUUCGUGAACAACAGAAAUAUUCUCUCUCUUUCUCGCCCUCUCUGUGCUAACAGCACAAUCAGGCCUGCUGAAACAGGAAGCCUGGAGUGGGUUGUUCAAAAGCAACAACACUUCAAGGGACUGGUUGCUUGUCAAUAAUAUCAGAGAAGAAAAUGUGGUGAAAGGGAAGUACAGUAUUUUUCUGUCAGUGUCAGUGCCCUGUAGAUGCUUUGUUAGACAGUGUUUAGGAGUCCUGUGGACUCUUUGCAAAUAUUCCUGCUUGUUUCAGUGUUGUAAUUGACUAGGUAUUUUUUCCUGACAUACGGAUCCAACUAUGUAUUUAUCUUAACCGCAUGGAGUUAUUCAAGGAUUACAGCAACAGUAGUCUUCCAUUCAAAAUGAGAACAAUUGUUGGGUAAAUGCAGGGAUUUUAGAAAAAGAAGAAGAUAUGCAGGAAUUUUUCACAAUAAAUCCAUACAAAUGAAAACUAUAGAAUUUCAGACAUAGCAUUUUAAACAGCAUUAUAAUUGUGUGGCUUUUCAAAGUAAAUCUGCAGAUCGAAGCUGAUUAACAAGGUAAGAUGAGCCUAGGCUGACCUGAUAGCAGUUGAAUCCUUUCUCAAGUAAACUAUUACCUUUCUUUCUUCCUACAAUUUAGUUUUAAUUAUUUUCUAAUAAAUGUCUCCCUGUUAAGCUGCCAUUUAUAAUGAUAUCCUGAAUAGUAAACUUAUGUUAAAAACUGUAUUUUUACUCUUUAAAAAGCCAUACUUUUAAUGAUUUACAAGAAUAGUUAGUGAAUAGUUAUGUUUAUUAAGAAGUAAUGGCUUAGCCAUCAUAGCAGUCCUUUCUGAUGAGAUCUCUUCGUUUCCAAUGUAAGCCACAUUUAAGUUCACCC